GGAUUGUGGCUCAGUGGUAGAGUGCUUGCCUAGUAUACAUGAGGCCCUGGGUUUGAUUCUUAGCACCG
rnacentral:tRNA from 1 species